rnacentral:rRNA from 1 species
UACGUAGGGGGCAAGCGUUGUCCGGAUUUAUUGGGCGUAAAGAGCGUGUAGGCGGCCAGACAGGUCCGUUGUGAAAACUCGAGGCUCAACCUCGAGACGCCGAUGGAAACCGUCUGGCUAGAGUCCGGAAGAGGAGAGUGGAAUUCCCGGUGUAGCGGUGAAAUGCGCAGAUAUCGGGAAGAACACCCGUGGCUAAGGCGGCUCUCUAGUACGGUACUGACGCUGAGACGCGAAAGCGUGGGGAGCAAACAGG